CUAUUAGCGCCAAACUUAUGAGUUUAUGUGGUCCUAAAUAGGUUGUUACCCUUUAAGAAUAAGAGAACAAACGGUCUCCAGCAAUCUUUAUGUGAGCUUCCAAGUAGGGCUGUUAAAUAUUUCUUAUAAAUCACUGGAAGAAUAUGAAACUUAAGGCUGUGACUUAAAUUGCAUGUUAAUUUUGAACUCAAGUGGUUUUCCAAAUAAAGUUAAAAAUUUCAUGUUAAUU
rnacentral:lncRNA from 1 species